UGUGUGUACAUGUAUAUGUGUGUGUACUUGUAUAUGUGUGUGUACAUGUAUAUGUGUGUGUACAUGUAUAUGUGUAUACAUGCAUAGA
ensembl:miRNA Gm26233 predicted gene, 26233